rnacentral:tRNA from 1 species
GGAGUUGUGGCUCAGCGGUAGAGCGCUUGCCUAGCAAGUGCGAGGCCCUGGGUUUGAUCCUCAGCACCA